GCUCUUCCCUCCUCCUUCCGUCUCUAACUACUUUGGCCAGCCUUGACGCUUCCGCCUCGUUAGCCGGGACGCUGAUUCCGCCUCCCUGGGCCUGCCUUCCGGAGCCUGGAGCUCGGGGGCUCGGCUUCCCUGGGCCUUCGGCCCCGUGGCUGACACAGUGUGAUCUUGGGUCUUGGCCAUGAACUCCUCUGGAGGAAGGAGGCAGGAAGCAGCAGGGCCCAGGAGAAGGGCUCACAAACCCCGUGAACAGGACCGAGAUGUACAAUUAUCCAAGGCUCUGUCCUACACCCUGCGCCACGGGGCCUUGAAACUGGGGCUUCCCAUGGGAGCUGAUGGCUUUGUGCCCCUGGGUGCCCUCCUGCAGCUGCCCCAGUUCUGCAGCUUCUCAGCUGAAGAUGUACAGCGCGUGGUGGACACCAAUGGGAAGCAGCGGUUCGCCCUGCAGCCAGGGGACCCCGGCAUUGGCCUUCUCAUCCGGGCCAAUCAGGGCCACUCCCUGCAGGUACCUGAGUUGGAGCUGAUGCCCCUGGAGACCCCACAGGCCCUGCCCUUGAUGCUCGUCCAUGGCACAUUCUGGCGGCACUGGCCAUCCAUCCUGAUCAAGGGCCUGUCCUGCCGGGGAAGGGCACACAUACACCUGGCCCCGGGACUGCCUGGGGACCCUGGUGUCAUCAGUGGGCCACUACAGACCCUGUAUGCAGGAGCACCUCCUCUUCCCUGCACUGAGCCAGGGACCCCAGCCUGCCUAAGUUUGAUAACCGCAACCCACACGCCCCAGGCCCCAGCUCCAUUGUCUCCAUAGGCAUGCGGCCAAACUGUGAAGUGGCUGUGUUCAUCAAUGGGCCCCUGGCCCUGGCAGGUAAGUCUGGAUACAGUAGGGACCGCCCCAGACCUUCAGAGAGGUCAUAAGUCACGUCUCUGUCUCUGUCUGAAGAUGGAAUCCCCUUUUUCCGCUCUGCCAAUGGGGUGAUUCUGACUCCAGGAAAUACUGAUGGCAUCCUGCUUCCCAAGUACUUCAAGGAGGCCCUGCAGCUACGCCCUACCCGAAAGCCCCUCUCCUUGGCUGGUAAUGAAG